UGGGGAAUCUUGGACAAUGGACGCAAGUCUGAUCCAGCCAUGCCGCGUGGGUGAAGAAGGCCUUAGGGUUGUAAAGCCCUUUCAGUCGUGACGAUGAUGACGGUAGCGACAGAAGAAGCCCCGGCCAACUCCGUGCCAGCAGCCGCGGUAAUACGGAGGGGGCAAGCGUUGUUCGGAAUUACUGGGCGUAAAGGGCGCGUAGGCGGACGGCCAAGUCAGAGGUGAAAGGCCCGGGCUCAACCUGGGACGUGCCUUUGAAACUGGUUGUCUCGAGUGCGGGAGAGGGUGACGGAAUUCCCAGUGUAGAGGUGAAAUUCGUAGAUAUUGGGAAGAACACCGGUGGCGAAGGCGGUCACCUGGCCCGCAACUGACGCUGAGGCGCGAAAGCGUGGGGAGCAAACA
rnacentral:rRNA from 1 species